rnacentral:tRNA from 1 species
GGGGCUGUAGUUAAAUAUAACAUUUGUUUUGCAUAUAAAAAGUAUUGAUCUUUCAAUCUGCCUU